GGUUAAGCGACUAAGCGUACACGGUGGAUGCCCUGGCAGUCAGAGGCGAUGAAGGACGUGCUAAUCUGCGAUAAGCGUCGGUGAGGUGAUAUGAACCGUUAUAACCGGCGAUUUCCGAAUGGGGAAACCCAGUGUGUUUCGACACACUAUCAUUAACUGAAUCCAUAGGUUAAUGAGGCGAACCGGGGGAACUGAAACAUCUAAGUACCCCGAGGAAAAGAAAUCAACCGAGAUUCCCCCAGUAGCGGCGAGCGAACGGGGAGGAGCCCAGAGCCUGAAUCAGUGUGUGUGUUAGUGGAAGCGUCUGGAAAGGCGUGCGAUACAGGGUGACAGCCCCGUACACAAAAAUGCACAUAUUGUGAGCUCGAUGAGUAGGGCGGGACACGUGGUAUCCUGUCUGAAUAUGGGGGGACCAUCCUCCAAGGCUAAAUACUCCUGACUGACCGAUAGUGAACCAGUACCGUGAGGGAAAGGCGAAAAGAACCCCGGCGAGGGGAGUGAAAAAGAACCUGAAACCGUGUACGUACAAGCAGUGGGAGCCUCUUAAUGGGGUGACUGCGUACCUUUUGUAUAAUGGGUCAGCGACUUAUAUUCUGUAGCAAGGUUAACCGAAUAGGGGAGCCGAAGGGAAACCGAGUCUUAACUGGGCGUUAAGUUGCAGGGUAUAGACCCGAAACCCGGUGAUCUAGCCAUGGGCAGGUUGAAGGUUGGGUAACACUAACUGGAGGACCGAACCGACUAAUGUUGAAAAAUUAGCGGAUGACUUGUGGCUGGGGGUGAAAGGCCAAUCAAACCGGGAGAUAGCUGGUUCUCCCCGAAAGCUAUUUAGGUAGCGCCUCGUGAAUUCAUCUCCGGGGGUAGAGCACUGUUUCGGCAAGGGGGUCAUCCCGACUUACCAACCCGAUGCAAACUGCGAAUACCGGAGAAUGUUAUCACGGGAGACACACGGCGGGUGCUAACGUCCGUCGUGAAGAGGGAAACAACCCAGACCGCCAGCUAAGGUCCCAAAGUCAUGGUUAAGUGGGAAACGAUGUGGGAAGGCCCAGACAGCCAGGAUGUUGGCUUAGAAGCAGCCAUCAUUUAAAGAAAGCGUAAUAGCUCACUGGUCGAGUCGGCCUGCGCGGAAGAUGUAACGGGGCUAAACCAUGCACCGAAGCUGCGGCAGCGACACUAUGUGUUGUUGGGUAGGGGAGCGUUCUGUAAGCCUGUGAAGGUGGCCUGUGAGGGUUGCUGGAGGUAUCAGAAGUGCGAAUGCUGACAUAAGUAACGAUAAAGCGGGUGAAAAGCCCGCUCGCCGGAAGACCAAGGGUUCCUGUCCAACGUUAAUCGGGGCAGGGUGAGUCGACCCCUAAGGCGAGGCCGAAAGGCGUAGUCGAUGGGAAACAGGUUAAUAUUCCUGUACUUGGUGUUACUGCGAAGGGGGGACGGAGAAGGCUAUGUUGGCCGGGCGACGGUUGUCCCGGUUUAAGCGUGUAGGCUGGUUUUCCAGGCAAAUCCGGAAAACCAAGGCUGAGGCGUGAUGACGAGGCACUACGGUGCUGAAGCGACAAAUGCCCUGCUUCCAGGAAAAGCCUCUAAGCAUCAGGUAACAUCAAAUCGUACCCAAAACCGACACAGGUGGUCAGGUAGAGAAUACCAAGGCGCUUGAGAGAACUCGGGUGAAGGAACUAGGCAAAAUGGUGCCGUAACUUCGGGAGAAGGCACGCUGAUAUGUAGGUGAAGCGACUUGCUCGUGGAGCUGAAAUCAGUCGAAGAUACCAGCUGGCUGCAACUGUUUAUUAAAAACACAGCACUGUGCAAACACGAAAGUGGACGUAUACGGUGUGACGCCUGCCCGGUGCCGGAAG
rnacentral:rRNA from 1 species